rnacentral:rRNA from 1 species
AACGAACGCUGGCGGCAUGCCUAACACAUGCAAGUCGAACGAUUGCCUUCGGGUGUUAGUGGCGCACGGGUGCGUAACGCGUGGUAAUCUGCCCUUAGGUUCGGAAUAACAGCUGGAAACGGCUGCUAAUACCGGCUGAUAUCGCGCGAUCAAAGAUUUAUCACCUGAGGAUGCGCCCGCGUUGGAUUAGGUAGUUAGUGCGGUAAAGGCCUACCAAGCCGACGAUCCAUAGCUGGUCAGUGAGGAUGAUCAGACACACUGGGACUGAGACACGGCACAGACUCUUACGGGAUGCAGCAGUGGGGAAUAUUGGACAAUGGGCGCAAGCAUGAUCCAGCAAUGCCGCGUGAGUGAUGAAGGCACUAGGGUUGUAAAGCUCUUGUACCCGGGAAGAUAAUGACGGUACCGGGAGAGUAAGCCCCGGCUAACUCCGUG